GCGGGUAUGAUGGAAAUGGUAGACAUGCUAGAUUUAGGUUCUGGUGAAAUUUUUCAUGAGGGUUCAAAUCCCUCUACCCGUA
rnacentral:tRNA from 1 species